UGAGGGAAUAUUUGGGGGGCAAUGGAGGAAACUCUGACCCAGCCAUGCCGCGUGAGUGAAGAAGGUUUUCGGAUUGUAAAGCUCUUUCGGACAGGAAGAUAAUGACGGUACUGUCUAAAGAAGCCCCGGCUAACUUCGUGCCAGCAGCCGCGGUAAUACGAAGGGGGCGAGCGUUGUUCGGAAUUACUGGGCGUAAAGGGUGUGUAGGCGGCAUAAUAAGAUAGCGGUGAAAUACCUGGGCUUAACCUAGGAACUGCCGUUGUUACUAUUAAGCUAGAGUGAUAGAGAGGAUAUUGGAAUACCCAGUGUAGAGGUGAAAUUCGUAGAUAUUGGGUAGAACACCAGUGGCGAAGGCGAGUAUCUGGCUAUUAACUGACGCUGAGGCACGAAAGCAUGGGGGAUCAAACAGGAUUAGAUACCCUGGUAGU
rnacentral:rRNA from 1 species